rnacentral:rRNA from 1 species
AGCGAACGCUGGCGGUAGGCCUAACACAUGCAAGUCGAACGGCAGCACAGUAAGAGCUUGCUCUUACGGGUGGCGAGUGGCGGACGGGUGAGGAAUACAUCGGCAUCUACUUUUUCGUGGGGGAUAACGUAGGGAAACUUACGCUAAUACCUCAUACGACCUAAGAGAGAAAGCAGGUGAUCUUCGGACCUUGCGCGAUUGAAUGAGCCGAUGUCGGGUUAGCUAGUUGGCGGGGUAAAGGCCCACCAAGGCGACGAUCCGUAGCUGGUCUGAGAGGAUGGUCAGCCAAACUGGAACUGGAACACGGUCCAGACUCCUACGGGAGGCAGCAGUGGGGAAUAUUGGACAAUGGGCGCAAGCCUGCUCCAGCCCUACCGGGUGGUUGAAGAAGGUCUUCGGGUUUUAAAGCCCGUUUGUUGGGAAGGAAAAGCAGCAGGUUAAUACCCCGCUGUUCUGACGGUACCCAAAGAGUAAGCACCGGCUAACUUCGUG